AACGAACGCUGGCGGCAUGCCUAAUACAUGCAAGUCGAACGCGAACGGGCUUCGGCCCAAGUAGAGUGGCGGACGGGUGAGUAAUGCGUGGGAAUCUACCCUCGAGCGGGGGACAACCCGGGGAAACCCGGGCUAAUACCGCAUACGUCCUACGGGAGAAAGCGGGCCUCUACACUAUGCUCGCACUCGAGGAUGAGCCCACGUCCGAUUAGCUAGUUGGUAGGGUAACGGCCUACCAAGGCCACGAUCGGUAGCUGGUCUGAGAGGAUGAUCAGCCACACUGGGACUGAGACACGGCCCAGACUCCUACGGGAGGCAGCAGUGGGGAAUAUUGGACAAUGGGCGCAAGCCUGAUCCAGCAAUGCCGCGUGUGUGAAGAAGGCCUGCGGGUUGUAAAGCACUUUCAGUGGGGAAGAACGGAUACGGGCCAAUACCCGCAUCACUGACGUUACCCACAGAAGAAGCACCGGCUAACUCCGUGCCAGCAGCCGCGGUAAU
rnacentral:rRNA from 1 species